GACGAACGCUGGCGGCGUGCCUAAUACAUGCAAGUCGAGCGAAGCGGCGGGUGGGUGAGUAACGCGUGGGUAACCGGUCCUUAAGUCUGGCAUACCAUUUGACAACAGAUGCUAAUACCGGAUAAUAAUGGUGGGACCUGCGUGGCAUUAGCUAGUUGGUAGGGUAACGGCUUACCAAGGGGAUGAUGCAUAGCCGAGUUGAGAGACGGAUCGGCCACAUUGGGACUGAGACACGGCCCAAACUCCUACGGGAGGCAGCAGUAGGGAAUCUUCCACAAUGGGCGGAAGUCUGAUGGAGCCACGCCGCGUGAGUGAAGAAGGUUUUCGGAUCGUAAAGCUCUGUUGUUGGUGAAGCGGUAAUCAACCAGAAAGCCACGGCUAACUACGUGCCAGCAGCCGCGGUAAUAC
rnacentral:rRNA from 1 species